rnacentral:tRNA from 1 species
GGGAGCGGAUGGGGCCCGGUGGCCCUCGCGGGCUUCAAACCCGUUGCUCCGUCGCCCGCGCGAUGGAGGGUGCGUUCGACUCCCACGCGCUCCCGCCA